AAGGCCGAAGUAUAAUAGGGAAUCCGGUGCGCUAACCUUUCUGAACAUCAGCAAAUCCGGAGCUGUGCCCGCAACUGUAAGUGGUUGAUGCACGCUUUUAUGCCACUGAAACGUUCAGGCUGCCUGCCACAGCUGAUCAUUUUGGGAAGGCGGUGUGUAUCGACAACCAUGAGCCAGAAAACCUGCCAAUGAUUUG
rnacentral:ncRNA from 1 species